rnacentral:rRNA from 1 species
UACAGAGGGUGCGAGCGUUGUCCGGAAUCACUGGGCGUAAAGGGCGCGUAGGUGGCGACCCAAGUCGAUGGUGAAAGCUCGCCGCUCAACGGCGAGUCGGCCACCGAUACUGGGUUGCUCGAGCACUGUAGAGGCUCAUGGAAUUCCUGGUGUAGCGGUGAAAUGCGCAGAUAUCAGGAGGAACACCGGUGGCGAAGGCGGGUCUCUGGGCCGAUACUGACGCUGGAGGAGCGAAAGCGUGGGGAGCAAACAGG